CAGCCUAACACAUGCAAGUCAGAGCGGAUGACGGGAGCUUGCUCCUUGAUUCAGCGGCGGACGGGUGAGUAAUGCCUAGGAAUCUGCCUGGUAGUGGGGGACAACGUUUCGAAAUGGAAUGCUAAUACCGCAUACNGUCCUACAGGGAGAAAGCAG
rnacentral:rRNA from 1 species